rnacentral:sRNA from 1 species
AACUCUCCUGAUCAGCAUUUUCUGCCAA